GGGGAUAUGGCGGAACUGGCAGACGCAACAGACUCAAAAUCUGUCGAUCGAGAGAUUGUAAGGGUUCGAUUCCCUUUAUCCCCACCA
rnacentral:tRNA from 1 species